GAUGAACGCUAGCGGCAGGCUUAAUACAUGCAAGUCGAGGGACAGCACAGGUAGCAAUACUGGGUGGUAACCGGCAAACGGGUGCGGAACACGUACACGACCUUCCUUUAAGUGGGGGAUAGCCCAGAGAAAUUUGGAUUAAUACCCCGUAAUACAGUUGAAUGGCAUCAUUUGAUUAUUAUAGCUACGGCGCUUAAUGAUGUGUGUGCGGCUGAUUAGAUAGUUGGCGGGGUAACGGACCACCAAGUCUACGAUCAGUAGCUGAUGUGAGGGGAUAGUCAGCCACACGGGCACUGAGACGCGGGCCCGACUCGUACGGGAUGCGGCAGUAAGGAAUAUUGGUCGAUGGACGCAAGUCUGAACCAGCCAUGCCGCGUGAAGGAUUAAGGUCCUCUGGAUUGUAAACUUCUUUUAUUUGGGACGAAAAAGGGCCUUUCUAGGUCAACUGACGGUACCAGAUGAAUAAGCACCGGCUAACUCCGUGCCAGCCGCCGCCGUAAGAC
rnacentral:rRNA from 1 species